GUUAUGUGUCCUUUGGAAAAAUCUGUCUCACAUCUUUUUCCAGUGAGUCCUGGGUAAUGUCCCUUGCAGAAGCCAAAGCAAGAGCUGAUGAAUAUGAUUGACCCUAUCCCAAUUUAAAUUUCCUGGAUGAUUUGAUGUAGAAGGUUUGGAUCGAAUGUAUUGAAGCAGGAUAGCAGCCAGUUCCUCAGGUCUGUGGUCUCCUUAGAGCUUUCCAUUUAAGCAACAAAUGGAGUGCAGUACAAUAGAAACGGGGCUGAAACGAGUGGAUCUAUAAACUAAUUGCAAAACAUAUCAUGUUGCUUCUUGGAUGAAGAGUGGGAUGAACAGCAGUGAGCAUCAAGGUGUGAGGCCCUUGUUUUUGGAAAGAAAGCAGAAGUUCUGGGAAUGGGGAGAGAUUGUCUUCUGUCCUACCUAUGAAUUAAUACCUACAUCUGCUGGCCACGUGGGUUGGAAUGAAGCUAUUUCACACUUCUUUUUCAGGUGUGGUUGCUGGGAGAACAAGCCUGGAUGGAGAGCUCUCAUACAAGUGUGGUGCACACGACUGUUCUACGUAACCCUCUUCCAUAAGUACCAUUAGCACUAGGGAGUGCCAAAUUAAGAGCAAUGUGAAAUCUUUGCAAAUAGUGACUAAAUGAUGGAGACAAUAACAAUGUAAAUAACUUGGUAAUUUAAAUAGCUGGUUUAUAAAUAAACCAGAGUCAAUAUAUAUUCCUGCUGGUCUCUAAAGAAAUUAGACCAGUAAAUUCCUGUGAAUCACAAUAAGGAACAUAUUUUGUGCAUUUAAAAUAAAUCUCAAAGCU
rnacentral:lncRNA from 7 species